UGGGUUGCGCAAUCAAUUUCAAUGCGCUGGAGGCGCUAGUGGCACGCUCGCCGCAGCUACGGCGGCUGCGGGUGAAUCAGCACAUUUCACUGGGGCAGCUCAGCCGGCUGAUGGCUCACGCGCCGCAGCUCACCCACCUUGGCACGGGGUCGUUCCGACCGGCCGACUUACAAGACAAUGACGAAAAUCUUGCUUCGGCUUUCGCAGCGUCGAAGUCAAUUGUCUGCCUCUCGGGGUUCCGUGAUGCGGCUCCGGAG
rnacentral:misc_RNA from 1 species